AGUGAACUUCGUUUGAAGUGAAAAUCCUUUCUAGUCCCGAACUUAUUUCCGGAUCCUGAAACAAGUUCGGGACUAGAAAGAUUGCAGUGGAAAGCAGGAAAUAGC
rnacentral:sRNA from 1 species